GGUACAGUGGUCUAAUGGUAUAAUACCUGCUAUGUAGUAUCCUGCUGGUAUCUGCCAGAGGGUGAUCUGGGUUCAAUUCCCAGCUGAGCUG